ACCGUAGGUGGCCUAGCUGGUGCAUGGCGCUCGCUCGUCACCACACGAUGUUGAGAGAUCCCGGGUUCGAUUCCCGGCGAAGCUCACCUCGGAG